UUUAGUGGAUCCUGGAUCGUCUGCUGUAGAAAUUCACCGAGACGUGUUCAGCGAGGAGUUAAUUGUUCAGUGCGUUCCGUUUUAAACAUUCUUUUGGCUACUCGUUAAUACACUAAAAUUUGCCAUUUAUUCGUACCAACCUGAGCGACACUUUUUCACGACACACACGAUUGUUUGAAAGUUGAUUUUUCACUAGACGUCAUUUGAAUUGUUUUCAUAUCUUUAGGUGCAGUUCCUAUCCACAGCCCCCAGUCCUACUCUCCUACAGUGUGCAAAAAUAGACAGUUGAAAAAGUCUUCUUAUUGUGCUAAUCUGCACAAUGCCAGAUUCAUGACUACUCUGUAUUAAAAUACUCUUUCCUUAAGAAAAUUUGCAGCUGUGGAUUUUCUUUAGAUGACUCUUGUAUCGGAAAUAUUUUCCUGUUUCUUGGAACCAGGAACAUAGGACGUCUUGAUGCCAACCAAGUGUCAUUGGAAAGAUUGUAAAUGAUGUUAAGCUGGAGAAACCUAAAGUUGGAGGACAAUACAUUUGUUUCCCGUUACUAGUUUUGUAAAACAAAUGUGGAGAUUGAUUCCAAAUCUUCAGCUUCCCAGGCAGACACCCAUCCACGAAGCCAUGGGUGAUAGAUGAUAUCCACUGCGGGCAAAACUGCGUUUUAAAUUGGUAUCACUUUUACAAAACCAAUCAGAUUUAGAUCACUUGUCUAUUCUGAAAGAGAUCAUGUGUCUCAACGAAAAUGGCUCUCCGUUUGCGACAUCAGACCUCUCCAGUGUGUCAUUCUUAUGCAGAACUCUUGAAAUCAAGUUGAAAGUUUAAAACCAUCUCAGGAAAAUCUCAGGAAAUCUCACAAAACCAGGAAAAGUUGGCCCUUCUUCAAAUUAAUAAAGUCAAAUAAGACUAAAACUCAUGGUUCAAUUAUUUGGACACUUUACAGGUAUUUCAUACACUUCAAAGUAGUAACCCUUUCGUAGUUUUUACGCCACAUCACUUGUGCCGGCUUGGUUUUAGUUAACCUUAUUCUCAAUUUUAUGACUUGUUUUCCAAGAUAUGUUGAAAUUGUGUGCCGUAUUUGAUGUUCCUAGAUGUAGUGAAAUAAUAUUGUAACGAAUGUCAUUUUAAUGUGUAUGUUUUUCCUAUUGCUUUCUAUAUGUGACCGCUAGAUGGCUUUUUCUAGCGUGGUCUUAUUAUUCUAGAGCUAGUCAGUUCUCGCCUGUACGUUGUCGGUUUAGCGUUGUAUGUUUCUCGGCUGGUGUAUUGUUGCUAUUUCUUUAGUGUAAUUUAGUUUUAUCCAUUAGGGCACCAUUGGAAGUAGUGUUAGAAUUAUUUAGAGUAGUCCAAUGGUGAAAGGGACCUAUAUGUUUGCGCCUUGUGUCGUCAGGCCAACAUUUAUGUAACUUUGGCUUUGGGCUGUAAGCAUCAACAAGUGUUUAUUGCCUCAAACAAUUCUACCUGUGACAAUAUCUUGUCUUGAGAAUCGAAAUCGUUGAACAGAAAGAAUAAGCUGUCGGCAGAAGGCAUGGCAUAUCUAUCAAAACUAAAGAAGAUUUAAAUGCCUCCAAAAAAAGAAGCUACCCAAGAAUCUAAACCUCUUAUUGGAUGUAUUGGUACAAGUCUGAAAAUAGUUGGACUCCUGGCUGUUGGCAAGUCUACCUUUUUCAAUGUGCUAACAAAAAGUGCAGCACCUAUAGAGAAUUUCCCACUUUGCACCAUUGAUCUGAAUGAAAAUAAGUGUUCUUUUAGUGUUUAUAAACACAAAUUUUGGUAACUGUCAUAUUAAACUUUUGGUCUGGUGUUCAAAUAAGGUAGCAGUUCCAGAUGAAAGGUUUGAUUGGUUGCUUCAGCAUUAUAAACCCUCAAAGUAAAGUUUGAAGAAUCAUAUCAUUCAUCCAUUGUAUUCUUGAUUGUUUUUCACUUCAUCACAGUCCCAAAUUCACUAUUUACUGGAUCAGAAGCUCAUACAGCUGGCAGCAACAGAAAUUAUGUUCAUACUAAAGGCAGUCUUUCUUAAGUGUUAUAUUUACAAAACAUGCAUGACUGUGGAUGUAAUGAAUAUUUGAUAAACAUACCAUAAAU